rnacentral:tRNA from 1 species
ACGACGACGGGCGGACGUGGAGCGCCGCCCGCGCCCUGGACGUGAGCUUCGCCGGAACCCCGGCCGGCUGGUUCGCCACCGGCCCGUCGCAC